rnacentral:rRNA from 1 species
GAUGAACGCUGGCGGCGUGCCUAAUACAUGCAAGUCGAGCGAACAGACGAGGAGCUUGCUCCUCUGACGUUAGCGGCGGACGGGUGAGUAACACGUGGAUAACCUACCUAUAAGACUGGGAUAACUUCGGGAAACCGGAGCUAAUACCGGAUAAUAUAUUGAACCGCAUGGUUCAAUAGUGAAAGACGGUUUUGCUGUCACUUAUAGAUGGAUCCGCGCCGCAUUAGCUAGUUGGUAAGGUAACGGCUUACCAAGGCAACGAGGCUUAGCCGACCUGAGGGGUUGAUCGCCCACCCGGGACCUGGGCACCGGUCCGGCCCCCGACGGGAGGCACCGUAGGGAAUCCUUCGGCAUGGGGCGAAGGCCGACCGGAGCAACGCGGCGGAAGUGAGAAAUGUCUCCGGUUCGUAAAUCUUUGUUUUUAGGGAAGAACAAAGGUGUAAGAACCUAUGCCCUUCUUGCCGUUCCCGAAGCAGAAGGCCCCGCUAACCUCCUG